UAUACUGUUAUUUAUUCUCAUUCUCUUUAAAUGUGUAUUUUACACCAAUAAAUAAAAUUGUUCCAGAAAUCCAGAUUUAGGUCCUGGAAGGUGACAGUGACUCGAGUGGCAGUGAGCCCUUGGCAGAACCCCUUCCCUCCACAGAUGAGGAUGAAAAGGAAGUGCAAGAUGUGAGAAGUGGGACUGCUCCUCUGAGGGAGAAGAUGUGAGAACUGGGCACUCAUAAGGUCACUGCCUCUAAUCAUUGGAUCAAGGAUACCCUCUGAUGAUCCAGCCUGGCAAAUUCUUAUGACACUUAAGGACAUUGUAGAGCUCUCUGUGGCCCCUUUCCACUCCCUCGAAAGUGUUGCUUAUCUUGACCUGAAAAUAUCUGAGCAUCGUCAUAGAUUGCAGUUUUCCCUCUGCUGAAACUGACACCCAAACACCAUUUUUUGGAGAAUUAUCAUGCACUCAUAGAAGCCUUUGGUCCUCUAGUUGGAUUGUGGACUAUGCGCUUUGAGGCCAAACAUAGGUUCUUUAAACAUGCUGUGAUGUUCUCAAGCAAUUUCAAGAAUGUCCUGCUGUCACUUUCAACAAAACAUCAGCUGAUGAUGGCUCACAAUUGGCAAAGAAAUAUGGCUAAGCCUGCCCUGAUAAUCAGUAAAGUUUCAUUUCUGCCUUUGGAAGUACUGCAUGUUGACAUCCAGGAGUCUAUUAAGAAACCAUUCCCUCAGCUAACAAGUGUACAGUUGUCAAACACUGUGAUAUACCAUGGAACAAGGUAUUCAGCUGGGAUGAUCUUGCCGUAUGGUUCUACAGGAGGGCUCCGAAACUUUGUAGAGAUCAUCCAGAUGUUGAUCUUGGAAAGCAGUCUUUACUUCAUUGUUAAGAAACUCAAUGCUUGGUACCAGGAUCACUCUAAUCUUAAAACCUUAAAAUGUAGGUCAUGAUAUAAACACAUUAAGAUGUUAAGAAAUGCAAUGGUUAUUCUUAAGAAAGACAAUAUUUAGAUUUAAUUGAAUGCAUUGAGUAAAUUAAAAUCAAUGCACUGAUUAAUGUAGAUAAUUAUUACUCAAUUAUAUAUCAUUGAUAUGUAG